UUGAUUUACUAUUGUUAUCAUGAAAACUUCUCAAGAACACCAGAAGCUAAUACUCUAGAAGAGACCUAGUUUGUCCUCUUCAAUUUUUCUUAAACCCCAAACAAUGGUGAUUUUGAGAUUUCCUCCGCACAAACUAACGAAACAACAGUGAAACUUUAAGGUUAAGCUCAAUCAAACGAGUCCUAAAACAAAUUCGCAAAGAAUCAUCAACGUUUUUCAGAUUUGGAUUUUCAAAUUUCAAACCUCAAGCUUCAUUCGUGGUGAUUCAACAAUGAAUUGAACACUUCGAUGAGUUAUAAGAAAGACAAGUUUGUUCAAAGAUUUCAACUUUGAUGGAUUAUGACAAAGAAAUUCUGGAGGAGGAAGAAGGGCAGUGUGGUGGUUGUCAGGGCAGAGGUCGCUGGCAACUUUAUCUCCAUGUCCGAUUGAGAAACACAAUUUUCUUCCGUUUAAAAUCAAAGGUGAUGGACUGGUGAAGCGGUAGCUGUUUUGAUGAAGGUGAAGGCGGCCGGCGGCGGCUGGUUGGGAGGUGAGUAGGAUGUGGCUACAACUUUUUACAUGGUUCAUCAUUCAAUAUAUAAAUCCUCAAAGAUGUUCAUGUUUACAGACCUGAAAUACUUUUAGGCUUUGAUUUCUUUUAUUCUGUAUUCAUUUUUCUGAUCUUUAAAUCUUCACAAAAAGAGGGUAAACAGGAAGGGAGGGGUCAAAAAAAUGAGCACGGGUCUCUAUAAUUCGGGUUAGUAUUUGCCCAGUUGGCACAUUAAAUGAGGGGUCCUACUGCCACGUGUUAGGAUUAGGGACGGGUUUGUAUACUUUACUUAACAGUGGGUGUAUAUUUGGACCGAAAGUGGAAACGGGUAUAAACAAGACUAAUUUUCGAUAGUAUAGGGACAAUUUUGGCCUUUUUCCCAAACUACUAGAUAACCUUGUCAAACGAGGUUGAAUAUAACCUUCACAACUGCGUUCGAGGUUCAGCCUGUUCUCGAGUGAUUUUCAUCGACAAAAAACUGCGAUUUGAUUCUUUCCCAAUCAAUCUUUAUUUGAUCCCACGUCUGCAUAAGAUUAGCUAUUGGUACGUUACUAUUCCAAUCAGACUUUAAACUCUCCCACUUCUACAUAAUUUCAUCCAUUAUAAGCUUCCUACUUCCUUUAGCACCAGACAUUAUUUUUUAAAAAUUGCUAAAAGGCUAAGGAUGAAUAUAAAUUUAAAGAAAUAUGAUAGAAGUCUAUGGAUGACUAUGAAAUUUUCAAGCGCAGAGAUUAUUAAUAUACCCAAAGAAUGCACCUAAUCAGUUUAAUAUCUAUAAAUGCAAAGGUAACUUUUCAAGUCUGUUUACUGUUUUACGUUUAGAGAAAUUGAAUGUAACAAGAUAAGUAGGUGGUAAAAGAAAACAAGUAGGUAGUAAAUGCAAAAAGAAAUGUAAUUUCAGGUCCACAGUUUUUCUAUGGUAAAAAAAUAACUUCAGCCUGAAAAUUUUUACAUAAUCAAAUAAAAAAUUCUUCAUUUAUUAUUUGUAAAUGCAAAAGUAACUUUUCAGCUCAUUUACUAUAUGGUCAGACAAAUUUAAAUGUAAGAUGAUGUAGGUGAUAAAAGACGAAAAAUAGCUUGUAAAUGCAAAAAAAUAAGUAUCAAGUUAAAAAAUAUCAAAACAUGCUGAAGUUUUGUCUUGCUGUCUGAGAUUUAGCAAUGAGUUUUCCCUAAAAACUUCAGAACAAAAAUGCUGAAGUUAUUUAUUUCAUGUGCUAAAACUUCAGACUGAACAUGCUGCAGCUUUUUUAUUCAUUUCCUAACACUUCACACUAAACAUGCAGAAGGUAAAACUUCAUGCUAAUAUAGCUUGAACUUGUUAUUUAGUUCAUUUGCUAAAAACUUUAUACCAAAACACGAUGAAGUUUUUGUCCUACAGUCAACACUUUUGUUAUGAGUUUUAUUCGAAACUUCAGCCUAAACAAGUAGUAGAAGUUAUUUAGUUCAUUUGCUAAAAAUUCAGACUAAGCAUGCUGAUUUCACAAAAAUAUAGUUAAGUUCAUGAUAAAAGAGACAAAAGUAUUUGAUACAAUCCAAGACAACUUCAGACUAAUUAACGCGAAUAGAACAAAAAUGUAAAAGACAGACAUCACAUAAUCCAAAAAAAUUAAUGUAUAUUCAUAAAUCCAAUUUGUUUUCACUUACAUCCUUGAAAAAAUAACAAAAAAGAAAAAAAUUGUUUUUCAUUUACAAGACUGUCUUCAUAUUCUCUAUAGUCAUGUCCUAGUUGCUCUUCUGGAGUUUCAUAACCGCUAUUUUCUUUUCACUUUCCAUGAGCCCAAAGAUUUGUAGGCAAUUUUCUUCUGAAUGUCAAGGCAUCACUUUGAUUGAAUUUGAAGACAUCAUCUUGCUACAACUGCAACUCAAGGAACUUAAGAGCAAAUAUACCCACAAUCAACACUACAAAAAGAACAUGAGAAAAAAUUGAAGAAUAGUUAACACAAAAAGAACAAACGAUAAACAUAAGAUGCAUGGUAAACAUAUGCCAAACACGUACUUGUUAUCUUGUAGGGGUGUGUUCAUCCACUUAAUCGUAAAUUUUUCCAUGGGAUUUUCCCCAUAAAUUUUAUUGUGUGUGCUGGUUCAAGCAUUUAAGACAGUGUCAGAUCAGUCGGACAUAAUUUUGGACAUGUUCAACCGCACGAUCAUAUGGUGUACUGCUCAUGGAAUCACACAAAAAUAUAGUUUCUUUUUUUAAAGUGCAGAAUUCCAAGAAAGUAGUGGGUAGAUGUCUACCCCCCCUCCCCGGCUUAAGUCGAAAUGGAAAGAAUACAUUUUUGGUAGAUGCCCAUGUGAUACUACAUGAGAGGUCAAUGCCUUUUACGUAGUUGGACACCCUUUCAGCAGUUGAUUCUUCAAUAAACCAGGUAAACUCGGUAAGAUCCUCAAUCUCCACUUCUUCUUCAUAAUCCUCAGCUUCCCGUUUUUUGACAGUCCACUUUCUCUUUGAUUCGCUCUUUUUUCCUUCCAUUUUUUUCUCCUCCAUUGUCUUUUCCUUCCUUAUUCAAAUAUUCUCCUUCUAUUCAUUUGAAGGAUGAACACUAGCCAACUUAGUCAUAUACUGAUUAAAAAGUAAAGUUGUUACUGCACAUUUUGAUUUUGGAUAACUUGAAAGGCGAUGACAAUAUUUUUGCACAAGAAAUAUACGCUCACUUCAAUAUGCUGCAAAUGAACAACAACAAAAGAAAAUAUGUGACAUUAAGCAAAAUAUAAUUCAUAGUAAAAAAUAAGUUUAGCUAAUGAAAUAAAAAACUUCAGCAUGCAUAAGUAUGAAGUUUAGAAAAAAUGCAUUACAAAACGACAAACUGCAUGACAAAAACUUAAGCAUAUUCAGUAUGAAGUGUUAGGAAGUAAAUUAAAAAACUUCAGCAUGUUUAGUCUGAUGUUUUGGCAAAUAAGCUAAACAACUUCAGCAAUUUUUAGCAUGCAUAAGUCUGAUGUUUACCAAACUACAGUACAAAAACUUUAAAACAAACAUUAGGCUGAAGUUUUAGGAAAUAGAGUUGAAAACCAAUUCAAAAAACAAACUUUAUAACUUACUACAUCCGAAAGAUCAGAGGUAGGGUCCACAAGCUUGGUAAAGAAUGACUUUGGAAUAUCAAAAUUCCAGCUAAUCUGAAUGGCUUGGAAUUAUAUUCACUGGUGUCUUCAACCAGUCUGUAAAUCUCUGCAUCAAUCCACUGUAUUGAUUAACAUAAUGGAAGAGACAUCUUCGUGUAGUCUUUCCUGCUUUUCAAUCUUUCCCCCUUGGCUUUUGUUUAGGAAUGACGUAAGGAGAUUUCAAUCAAAUACUCUCCAUACGAAUCCUUUUCCCUAUUUUAGCUGGUUUUCUUUUUGCUUGCUCUUCCUGCAGAAGGCACUGGUGUAGAAGGUAAUUCUGUUGUUGUUGUUGUUGGUGAAGAGAGACAAAAACAUCGUGAACAACAGGGAGUUGGUCAAGUAUCUCCCGCUAUGGCUGUGGAUUUUUCAGCUGCUGCUGAACCGCAACAGUUAGUUGUGACGGAACAGCAGGAAGAACAAGCAAAAAGAAAACCAGCUAAAAUAGGAAAAAGAAUUCGUAUGGAGAGUAUUUGGUUGAAAUCUUUUUACGUCAUUCCUAAACAAAAUCUAAGGAGGCAAGAUUGGAAAGUAGGAAAGACUACACGAAGGUGUCCCUUCCAUUAUAUUAAUCAAUACAGUGGAUUGAUGCAGAGAUUUAUAGACUGGUUGAAGACGGAUAUAAGUGGAUUCCAAGCCAUUCAAAUUAGCUGGAAGCUGGAAUUUUGAUAUUCCAAAGUCAUUCUUUACCGAGCUUGUGGACCCUACUUCUGAUCUUUCGGAUGAAGUAAGUUAUUAAGUUUGUUUUUUGAAUUUAUUUUCAACUGUAUUUCCUAAAACUUCAGCCUUAUGUUUGUUUUAAAGUUUUUGUACUGUAAUUUGGUAAACAUCAGGCAUAAGUAUGCUAUAAAACUGCUGAAGUUAUUUGACUUAUUUGCUAAAACUUCAGACUAAACAUGCUGAAGUUAGCACUUCAUACUGAAUAUGCUUUAAUUUUUGUCAUGCAGUUUGUAGUUUUGUAAUGCGUUUUUUCUAAACUUCAUACUUAAUGCAUGCUGAAGUUUUUUAUUUCAUUAGCGAAACUUAUUUUUUACUAUGAAUUAUAUUUUGCUUAAUUUCAUAUAUCUUCUUUUGUUGUUGUUUAUUUGUAGCAUAUUGAAGUGAGUGGUUAUUUCUUGCGAAAAAAUAUUAGUAUCACCUUCCAAAUUAUCCAAAAUCAAAAUAUGCAGUAACAAAUUUAUUUUUUGAUCAGUAUAUGACUAAGUUGGCUAGUGUUCAUCCUUCAAAUUAACAAAAGGAGAAAAUUAGAAUAAGGAAGGAAAAGAGAAUGGAUGAGAAAAAAUGGAAGGGAAAAAGAGCAAAUCAAAGAGAAAGUGGACUGUCAAAAAACAAGAAGCUGAGGAUUAUGAAGAAGAAGAAGUGGAGAUUGAGGAUCUUAUCGAGUUUACAUAGUUUAUUGAAGAAUCAACUGCUGAAAAGGUGGCCAACUACGUAAAAGGCAAUACCUUUCAUGUGGUAUCACAUGGGCAUCUACUGAAAAAGUAUUCUUCCAUUAGGGGCAGACAUCUACGCACUACUUUCUUGGAAUUCCAUGAGCAAUACACCAUAUGAGCGUGCGGUUGAACAUGUCCAAAAAUUAUGCCUGGUUGAUCCCACACUUUCAAAUGCUUGAACUUUGGCACACACAAUAAAAUUUAUAGGGAAAAUCUUGUGGAAAAAAUUUGCGAUUAAGAGGAUGAACAUACCCCUACAGGAUAACAAGUACGUGUUUGGCAUAUGUUUACCAUGCAUCAUUUAUCGUUUGUUCUUUUUGUGUUAACUAUUCUUCAAUUUUUUCUCAUGUUCUUUUUGUAAUAUUGAUUGUGGUAUAUUUGCUCUUAAGUUCCUUGAGUUGCGGUUGUAGCAAGAUGAUGUCUUCAAAUUCAAUCAAAGUGAUGCCUUGACAUUCAGAAGAAAAUUGCCUGCAAAUCUUUGGGCUCAUGGAAAGUGGAAAGAAAAUAGCGGUUAUGAAACUCCAGAAGAGCAACUAGGACAUGACUAUAGAGAAUAUGAAGACAGUCUAUGUGAAUUUUUCGAUAGAGAAUAACUUGUAAAUGAAAAAUAAAUUUUUUCUUUUUUGUUAUUUUUUCAAGGAUGUAAGUGAAAACAAAAUUGGAUUUAUGAAUAUACAUUAAUUUUUUUGAAUUAUGUGAUGUCUGUCUUUUACAUUUUUGUUCUAUUCGCGUUAAUUAGUCUGAAGUUGUCUUAGAUUGUAUCAAAUACUUUUGUCUCUUUUAUCAUGAACUUAACUAUGAUUUUGUGAAAUCAGACAUGAUUAGUCUGAAUUUUUAGCAAAUGAACUCUACUUGUUUAGGCUGAAGUUUCGAAUAAAACUCAUAACAAAAGUGUUGACUGUAGGACAAAAACUUCAUCAUGUUUGGUUUGAAGUUUUAGCUUCAAUGUGAAACAACUUCAAGCUAUAUUAGCAUGAAGUUUUACCUUCUACAUGUUUAAUGUAAAGUGUUAGGAAAUGAACAUAAAAACUUCAGCAUGUUCCGUCUGAUGUUUUAGCACAUGAACUAAAUAACUUCAACAUUUUUGUUCUGAAGUUUUUAAGGAAAACUCAUUGCUAAACCUCAGAUUGCAGGACAAAACUUUAGCAUGUUUUGGUAUUUUUAGCAUGUUUGAUCAUUAUAUGAAAAUUUUUCAGGCUGAAGUUGUUUUUUUGCUAUAGAAAAACUGUGGACUUAUUAGGCUGAAGUUACAUUUCUUUUUGCAUUUACCACCUGCUUGUUUCCUUUGCAUUUAUAAAUAUUAAAUUGAUUAGGUGCACUCUUUGGGUAUAUUAACAAUCUCUUCACUUGAAAAUUUCAUAG